rnacentral:rRNA from 1 species
AUACGGAGGAUGCAAGCGUUAUCCGGAUUUAUUGGGUUUAAAGGGUGCGUAGGCGGAUGAUUAAGCGUGAGGUGAAAUGCCACUGCUCAACAGUGGAACUGCCUCGCGAACUGGUUGUCUUGAAUGCUCCUGCCGUGGGAGGAAUGUGUGGUGUAGCGGUGAAAUGCAUAGAGAUCACACAGAACACCGAUUGCGAAGGCAUCUCACGAAGGGGUGAUUUACGCUGAGGCACGAAAGCGUGGGGAUCAAACAGGAUUAGAUACCCUGGUAGUCCACGCAGUAAACGAUGAUAACUAACCGCUGGGUCGUAGUGAUUCAGUGGCCAAGCGAAAGCGAUAAGUUAUCCACCUGGGGAGUACGACCGCAAGGUUGAAACUCAAAGGAAUUGACGGGG